UACGUAGGUGGCAAGCGUUAUCCGGAAUUAUUGGGCGUAAAGCGCGCGUAGGCGGCUCAUUUAGUCUGAUGUGAAAGCCCCCGGCUCAACCGGGGAGGGUCAUUGGAAACUGAUGGGCUUGAGUGCAGAAGAGGAGAGUGGAAUUCCAUGUGUAGCGGUGAAAUGCGCAGAGAUAUGGAGGAACACCAGUGGCGAAGGCGGCUCUCUGGUCUGUAACUGACGCUGAUGUGCGAAAGCGUGGGGAUCAAACAGG
rnacentral:rRNA from 1 species